GGAGCUCGCAGACGGACCAGUAAACCUUGAUCUUGAUGGCACACUGCUAAAAAGGUGUGAAUGAAGAGUAUGAGGACACAAACGGAUACUUGUGGGUAUGAAACGAUGAUAGGAAAUCUCCAGGGGACAAAUCGACCUGGAAUUGACCCCCACCUAUGGAGUAUUCUAAAGAAGUGGACGAGUCACACCAGACCCAACAACGUGCUCAUUCUGUGAAAUGAGCACUGCGUGAAAUGCACAGCGCAGUUAUCUUUGCUGAGCUCACAUUUCUGUGUUAAAAACCCUUUGUUCACCGGUUGUGUGUGUACUCAGAUUUUCUGGGAAUUUUGGCUUCUUCCCCUGUAUGAGUGGGUUCUGUUAGUAUAGUUCAUCACUUUCAUUUGCCUUUAGAUAUGACUGUGUUUGUGCAUGCUUUUGUCUCCCGCGUGUGUCUCUGCGCUGCCCCGUGAUGGACUGGCGACCAGCCAGGGGGCUCCCCUGCCUCUCGCCCAAUGAACACCAGAGAAAAGCACCAGCGCCGUGGAGACCCUGCAAGCGUAAGGCGUUAUGGAGAACAGAUGGUUGUAAAAUAACUUUUUGAUGAUAUUCUAAUUUCCUGAGAUGCACCUGUACCUACCUGAAAUGAUAUUACAAGAAACAUUACAAGAAGCACGAGGCUUGACAAGUCACAGUGGUGGGAGACGGAAGGACAAGCACCGGCUCACUUUCUUUCAAGCACUGAGGUAAAAAACAAUAAAACAAAAAAAAAACAAAAAAACGAGGGGGUCAAGACAGAGGCAAACUGCAGGAGAUCCAAUAAGACACAUGCUUCAGGUUUUGUGUUGAUUCGUGCAUGACUAAGAGACCGUAACUCGACUAGAGCCUACAUUAUUUAAUAUGCUGCUGUAGGUUGAAAAAAAAAACAACCCACAACAAGCUGUGACGCUCGGUGUUUCAGGACAGCUGUGUUUCCUUCGUUCCUCUGGGUGCUCUUCUGGAGCCGUGGCAGAGAAUCAUUUCAAACAGCAGCUCUACAAAA